rnacentral:rRNA from 1 species
UACGUAGGGUGCAAGCGUUGUCCGGAAUUACUGGGCGUAAAGAGUUCGUAGGCGGUUUGUCGCGUCGUUUGUGAAAACUCACAGCUCAACUGUGAGCCUGCGGGCGAUACGGGCAGACUGGAGUACUGCAGGGGAGACUGGAAUUCCUGGUGUAGCGGUGGAAUGCGCAGAUAUCAGGAGGAACACCGGUGGCGAAGGCGGGUCUCUGGGCAGUAACUGACGCUGAGGAGCGAAAGCGUGGGGAGCGAACAGG